rnacentral:lncRNA from 1 species
AAAAUGAUUUUCAUUGUCUUCAUUGUCACAUAGACAAUAAUAAGAGGACAUAUAUGGAUACUAAACUAAUAGGAAACUAUGCGAUCACAAAUCCACGGCAAAAAAUAAUAAUAAUGAAAAUCAUCAUGCGGUGAUUUCAUAUAUAUACAACGAACUACGAGACAUAGCAUAUCUUUUGAAGAUUUCAAACUCUGAAUGGAAUCUGUAUUUGAUAUUCGAUAAUUAUGAACUUGGUUUUGUUUGUUUUUUUUUCGGUAUAAGUAUUUGAAAUGAUUAUUAUCAUUUAAUUUGUUGCAAAAAUUCAAAUUGAAUAUAUAUUAAAAAAUGACAUAGGGUGAUCUAGAUAACAAGAGAGUAGUAAUCCCAUAUCUAGUAGUAAUUGACAACCCGAAGUCUAGCUAGUUUUUGACAGAGUAAAAUUUAAGGCUUAUAUAUAUGACCUGGAGUUCUGUAGACAGAUCCAUUGUUUUGUAAUGAAUAAAAAUGAACGUGACCACAUAUGUGUUGGAUGAGAAAAUCGUACGUCCAAGAAACAACGCAAGAGAUACCAC